CUGCCCUGCUUUUUUCUUCAAAAAUAAGUUAGUGAGGAAAAGAGAGGCAGGAUCCUCUCCACACCGACAGCAUUUCAGCAAUACUGUCUUCUUCCAGGUCAUGAUGCAGCCUUGGCAGCAGUUAAUCUUUGGGCACUGCGACCUUGCUGCACUACCCACGAGUGCUUGAAGGGGAGUCCAGGCAAGGACAUACAGAAAUCCUGUACCGAGUUUUGCUAUAGGAAACGACAAGGGGUUCUGCCCUGCUGGAAUGUGCUGUCAGCAAACCAGAGACACCUGGAUUUGUAGUAUGGGGAACAAUGUGCUAUGCUGCCUGCUUUCUGCUAAGCAUUGCAACACAAGUUCAUUCCCAGAGGAGCUGAAGAAAAUGCCCAUUGUGAGUUUCCCACAAGUAGGAGUGAAAUAAAGAGGAAAGGGGAAGAUCCCUGAGCCAUGCUUUACAGUCAUGUUCGUGGCUUUCUGCAGUGCUUACUCCAGUGGGCUAAACUUCAUACAGGUGACCUGAGCAUUAAGAAUGGCUUGGUGACAAGAAUAGGACAUGGUGCAGUCACAGUUCCAGGGAAAUAAAGUUGUGCUGCAACACAAGCCCAUCUAGUGCUGCAAUCCAAGGCAACUUCGAAAAUGACACAAUUUGGGGAAGGAAGGCAGAAUGCCACUGCAAGGAUCAGUUCAGAGGCUGGCAGUGUCAAGUGCCAGGGCAUGGGGAGAAAUUUCCCAUGGCAGGUGGUGUUACUCAGUAUGUCUCUGGCAAGGAGGAGACUCAGUGCUCCUGGAAAUCCAAGUCAUCACAGGUCAGGUGUCACCAAUGAACAGCUAGACUCCAUUUCUUGCAUGGUAAGUGCAGCUGAGAGGAUAUGGUGCUGGGUCAGAAAUAUGAUGCACUUCUUCAUCCCCCUUCCCCACACCCCCUAGAGUGAGCCCUACAACCCUUUCUGUAUCACACUUUACUUCAUGAGAAGGAGGCUGGCUAGAUGACCUCUAGAGAUUCCUUCCAACCUAAAUUAGUCCAAAUCCAUGAUCACUUAAUGUGGACAGAAUACGUUUCUAACCCAAGUACACCUUCAAAACUUAAACAGUUUACUGGGAACAAAUCAUAAACAGGCUUUUACCAUCGGAGUACUGAUGCUAGAGAUGUAUUUAACAAGGACUGCAGAACUAGUCCCACUGCAGGUACGUUAUUUAAGUGACAGAGCCAUUACUAACAAGAGCUUUGUCCCAUUUGCUUUAAUAAUGGAAUGUCAAUAUAUUCUAACAGCUCCUGCCAUUAUGUACAUAGGUAUUUUGAAAGAUUCUGAUUUGUUAUUUGAUUGC